UAGGGAAUCUUCGGCAAUGGACGAAAGUCUGACCGAGCAACGCCGCGUGAGUGAAGAAGGUUUUCGGAUCGUAAAACUCUGUUGUUAGAGAAGAACAAGGACGUUAGUAACUGAACGUCCCCUGACGGUAUCUAACCAGAAAGCCACGGCUAACUACGUGCCAGCAGCCGCGGUAAUACGUAGGUGGCAAGCGUUGUCCGGAUUUAUUGGGCGUAAAGCGCACGCAGGCGGUUGAUUGAGUCAGAUGUGAAAUCCCCGGGCUUAACCCGGGAAUUGCAUCUGAUACUGGUCAGCUAGAGUCUUGUAGAGGGGGGUAGAAUUCCAUGUGUAGCGGUGAAAUGCGUAGAGAUGUGGAGGAAUACCGGUGGCGAAUGCGGCCCCCUGGACAAAGACUGACGCUCAGGUGCGAAAGCGUGGGGAGCAAACAGG
rnacentral:rRNA from 1 species